GAAGAGGUGGACAUGGUGAAUUAGGUUAUUGAGUUCAAGGCUGCAGUUGCCUGGGAGGCUGAAAAACCUCUGUCUAUAGAGGAGGUAGAAGUAGCACCUGCAAAGUCUCAUGAAGUUUGAAUUAAAAUCAUUGCCACUGCACUUUGCCACACUGAUGCUUAUACUCUGGGUGAAGCUGAUCCUGAGGGUGUUUUCCAGUGAUCUUGGGACAUGAAGGUCUGGAAUUGUGGAAAGUGUUGGUGAAGGAGUUACUAAGCUGAAAGCAGGUGAUACCGUCGUUCCACCUUACAUCCUACAGUGUGGAGAAAAUUUUGUCUAAAUCUGAAAACAAACCUUUGCCAGAAGAUAGGUGGAGCCUGG
rnacentral:lncRNA from 1 species